AAGAACGACGUGAGAUCGCUCUUCAGUCGACUGAGUUAGGGAAGAACAAUACUGCCCACCGAGGUUUGAGGGCUUCUAUUUGGGGAGCACCAGGCUGAGCCACCUUCGGGGCCGGUGCUCCGGCACCCCUGAGCCCGGCCUGGCCCGACACCGUCCGCUCAGAGGCCCGGAGGUGGCCUGGGGUCUUGCAGCUAUGGUGCUGGGAGGAGAGAGCACCUGAAGUCAGGUCUGAGGGAGGAGAGGGGAGUUCACUGUCCUCAUCCAGCACGGUGACAUCUAAAGUGGAAGUGAACAAAAGAGCAAAGAAGACAAUAAUGGAUGUCUCUCUCGGCCUUGGAAAGGGAGGAAAUUCUGACACGCUCCACACCAUGGAUGAAUCUGGAGGACGUUAUGCUACGUGAGGACGAACCCU